rnacentral:lncRNA from 1 species
CUGGACAGAGACCCUCAGACACACAGGUGCUUGGGUAGGAAGCCAUCAGUGCCCCCAAAAAUUGUCCAGCAAAGACACAGAUGAGGUUGGGGCUAGGCUGAGUGCCUUUGGGCAUGUGUUGACAUACAGCUUUUUUGGGUUUUAUUUCAGGUGAAAUGAACUCUUAGGAAACCACUGAUGGAUUCAUCAAGAAGCCCUAAACCUUGGAAAAGCCAAGAGACCAGAGGUCUCACCUUAAAGGUAUCUGGUCCUUCGACCUCACCGUGACCCAGCUUCUUCAGGAGAACAUUCCAGAAGCAGAGCAAGGGGCUGCGAACGGUGUGCAAUGCUUCCUGAACCACCUCAUGGCCCUCCAUCCACUUCGUCUGGGUCAUGCUGGCUCUGCGGCCAUGGCAUUUCAGCGUCUCGUCUUCAUCUUCAUCCUAUUUGUAACCAUGGGGCACAUGCUGUAUUUUUUUUUUUUUUUAAUGCAAGAAAGUGUAAGAUUAGAAACGCCCAUGUUCAGAAGACAGCAAAGAAGGGAGCUUUAACCUGACAGAGAUGGAACAGAGGAGAUCAGAAAGAAUAGACAAUAAUGGCCACUCAUCCUGCUUCCAGUAUGAAGAUUCCCCUACAUCUAGCAUGGACAGAAGUGUUGACAGAGGGAGGAGUUUUGGCAGAACAACAGAAGUCAAGUACGGCAAUGGCAAAGAAAAAGCCAACUACUAAGCCUGUCUGUCUACCACAUUACUUUAUUGGCUUCCAAAUAAACCCAAUCCUAGGGGACAAAAGAUGUGAAUCCAUAUCAGAAGAGAGAGGCAGUUCUGGAUUCCUGAGGUAUUCAUUGAAGACUGAGUAAGUGUGGAGUUUCCAUCGUGGCUCAGUGGUAAUGAAUCCGACUAGUAUCCAUGAGGACCCAAAUUCGAUCUCUGCCCUCACUCAGUGGAUUAAGGAUCCAGUGUUGCUAUGAGCAGUGGUGUAAGGUUGCAGAUGCAGCUCGGAUCUUGCAUAGGCCAGCAGCUGCAGCUCUUUAUUGGACUCCUGCAUGUGCUACAGGUGCAGCUCUAAAAAGCAAAACCAAAACC